rnacentral:misc_RNA from 1 species
UUUGGUGUCAACGACAUAGCUCAAUCAUUAACAAGUUUCAUGCACCACCACAAUACUCUACUACCAAGUCAACUAAACCCAGCUUAACUUUCACUGCUACUAUAAACACAUCAACCAGUAACAAGAAGAGAGUAUAAAAUCAGCGCAAGCCCGCUUGGAUGCUACGGCGACACGAGUGGAAGAGAUACACAGCGGUGGCAGCACUGAACCGGAGAGAGGCGGCGGCGACGACGACACUGAGCUUGAAAGGUCGGAGGAGACGG